UGGGAAUUUUGGACAAUGGGCGAAGCUGAUCCAGCAAUGCCGCGUGUGUGAAGAAGGCCUUCGGGUUGUAAAGCACUUUUGUCCGGAAAGAAAUCCUUGGCUCUAAUACAGUCGGGGGAUGACGGUACCGGAAGAAUAAGCACCGGCUAACUACGUGCCAGCAGCCGCGGUAAUACGUAGGGUGCAAGCGUUAAUCGGAAUUACUGGGCGUAAAGCGUGCGCAGGCGGUUUGCUAAGACCGAUGUGAAAUCCCCGGGCUCAACCUGGGAACUGCAUUGGGUGACUGGCAGGCUAGAGUAUGGCAGAGGGGGGUUAGAAUUCCACGUGUAGCAGUGAAAUGCGUAGAGAUGUGGAGGAAUACCGAUGGCGAAGGCAGCCCCCUGGGCCAAUACUGACGCUCAUGCACGAAAGCGUGGGGAGCAAAACAGGAUUAGAUACCCUGGUAGUCCACGCCCUAAACGAUGUCACUAGUUG
rnacentral:rRNA from 1 species